AGGACGAACGCUGGCGGCGUGCUUAACACAUGCAAGUCGAGCGGAAAGGCCCUUCAGGGUACUCGAGCGGCGAACGGGUGAGUAACACGUGAGCAACCUGCCCUUAGCUUCGGGAUAGCUCCGGGAAACCGGAAUUAAUACCGAAUAUGACUUUGGCUGACAUCAGCAGAAGUGGAAAGUUUUUCGGCUAGGGAUGGACUCGCGGCCUAUCAGCUAGUUGGUGAGGUAACGGCCCACCAAGGCGACGACGGGUA
rnacentral:rRNA from 1 species